GACGAACGCUGGCGGCGUGCUUAACACAUGCAAGUCGAACGGAAAGGCCCUGCUUUUGUGGGGUGCUCGAGUGGCGAACGGGUGAGUAACACGUGAGUAUCCUGCCCUUGACUUUGGGAUAACUUCAGGAAACUGGGGCUAAUACCGGAUAGGAGCUCCUGCUGCAUGGUGGGGGUUGGAAAGUUUCGGCGGUUGGGGAUGGACUCGCGGCUUAUCAGCUUGUUGGUGGGGUAGUGGCUUACCAAGGCUUUGACGGGUAGCCGGCCUGAGAGGGUGACCGGCCACAUUGGGACUGAGAUACGGACCAGACUCCUACGGGAGGCAGCAGUGGGGAAUAUUGCACAAUGGGCGGAAGCCUGAUGCAGCAACGCCGCGUGCGGGAUGACGGCCUUCGGGUUGUAAACCGCUUUCGCCUGUGACGAAGCGUGAGUGACGGUAAUGGGUAAAGAAGCACCGGCUAACUACGUG
rnacentral:rRNA from 1 species